rnacentral:lncRNA from 1 species
AGUUAAGUGUUUAAUUCAACUGCUUCAUACUUUCAGGUAUGACCAAUGUUAAAUGUCAUGAGAAGUUCAAGAGAUGCAUAAAGAAAGUGCAGAAGUCUGGGAAGGUCGGGUUUACUAGAGAUUGCCCCUAUGAUGUAGCUGUUCCAACGAUGGUACAGGGUAUGGACAUGGCUAUUAUGUUUAGCCAACUUGGAAACUCGAAGCUUGAACUUUGAUCAUUUCACUCUGCUAGCGGGAAACCGUAUACUUGAAAUGCUUGCAUUAACCAUUGCUUGCUGAUUCAAUUGUACAACAGGAAUGUUAUUCAUCUCUUUUUAGGUGCUUUUCCUUUUUCAGAGGUCCAUUUUGUAUUAGCGCCAAAGACGUAGCUAUUCAAUUGUAAAGGUUUAUCAGUGGAGGUUUCUGUAUGUUUCUAAUUGGUACCACUGUUUAGUGGUUUUUGAAUAGGAAGAGACUUGACAAAUUCAUGUUGAUUGGCUGCUGGAUAAGCUGCAUAUUCGAGACACCUGCUAGUUUUGCUCAGAUUUAGGGGAAUGGAUCAGAUUUUCCCCCCUACAACAAUAACAACAUAUCCAGUAUAAUCUCAUAUUUGCCUCUCUGUUGAUAAACAUAAUAUAUACUAGUUUUGAUGCACGUGCGCUGCACGUGAAUAUCAAAUCAUGUACUACACUAUUUUUAGAAAUAAUGUGAAUAUUAUUAUUUUUUAAAAUUAAGUAGAAAGUUAUAAAAUGAAUGAUUAAGUAUAACUGUAUAAGUUCCUAUGAAUAGUGGAUGUAAACUUUCUUAUGAUUAUUACUAAAAGUUAGUCACUCUUAAAAUCUCUUAGUUAUACCUCUAAAAUAUACUUUCUCCUCCCUCCCCCAUAGUGCAUUACUUAACAUUUAUGUUAGGAAGUGUUCAAAUUUUACUGAACUUUGAGAUUAUCAAUAUCUAUAAAUUAGACUUGAAAUUUUAAGAAGAGAAUAACAAAAAAACAUAUAAAAAUUGUAGUUUAAAAAUGUAAGGAAGCCCCUCCAUUUAUGGUUAACAAAGGAUAGUAUGAGCAUGUGCAUAGUGUUUCUUAUCAUAAAAUUCACAACCCUUCGGAAAUGUCACAAUUCAUUGGUAAAGCCACAACUAUUUGAAAAAGUUGUAACCAUUCAAUGUGAAAUGAUGUCUUCUUUUAAUAUAAUAUAUUAUAAUAUAAUAUAAAUAAAUAAAAUAUAAUAUAAAAUAUAGAAGAUAUGCUAAAUUGGGUGUUUUAAGAAGAAGAACAAUGAAAUUUUUAAAAAAUUGUAGUUUUAAAAUUUGAGGAAUCCCCUCUUUUUAUAGCCAACAAAAGGUAGUGUAUAAAAAAAAUGCUUAUUGUGCCUUGUAAAAAAAAAGUCACAACCCUUUAUAAAAGUCACAACCCUUCAAAAAGGACACAACUCAUCGGAAAAGUCAUAACUCUUUGUAAAAGUCACAACCCUUCGGAAAAGUCACAGUUUUUUGAAAAAGUCUCAACCUUGUAGAAAAAUUACAACCCUUCAAAAAGGUCACAACUCAUCGAAAAGUUAUAACUCUUUCGAAAUGUCACAACCCUUCAAUGUGAAAUGGUGUGUGCUUGUAAUAUAAUAUAACGUAGUAUAAAUAAAUAAAUAUAAUACACUAUAAAAUAUCGAAGAUAUACUAAAUUUGGUGUUUUAAGUUGGGUGUGUUAUAAUAAUUGCCAAUGGUUUGGAUCUGUUUCCACUACAAUUUCUUGGUAUUGUAUUCGUUUAGCUACAAUGAGCCUUUCAAGCCUCUAAUUUAUUCACAAUCAUAUUUAUUAACGAUAUCUUGGUAUAUUUAAAGAGUGAGGGUUAGAAAACAAAUCAUCUCAUAUUAGUUUUAUAGACACUUCAGGAUCACAAGCUUUAUGUUAAGUUUUUUAAGAGUAAAUUUUGGCUGAAUUACGUGUCAUUCCUAGGCAAUGCCAUUUUCAGUGAGGGUAUCAAGGUAGAUUCCCAAUGAUCGAGGUAGUAAAGAAUUAGUUGAGACCCACGACGCUGACGGAGAUUGAGAGUUUCUUGAUUUGGUUGGGUAAUAUAGAAGAUUUGUACUAGGUUUUCCCUAUGUUUUUGCUUCAUUGACCAAACUAACCUAGAAGAAGAUCAAUUUUCAAUGGUCGAAUGCAUAUGAGAAAAGUUAUGAAGAGUUGAAAACCAAAUUGACUUUUGCCCAAGUAUUGAUCCUACAAGAAGGAACUGAUGGGUUCAUAGUAUAUUGUGAUACUUCAGAAAUUGGUCUAGAAGUGUCUUGAUGUAACAUGAGAAUGUAGAAUCUUAUUCUUCCAGAAAACUUAAGAACCAUGAUAAGAACAAUCUGAUCCACAACUUAAAAUUAGCAGCAAUGGUUUUUUCCGGGGGAUCCUUCUGCAAGAAUUGAACGAACCAAGUUAAUCUAUACUAGAGUGAGGAAUAAAAAGCAACAAUCAAUUAGCUGUUUUGAUUUCCCAUGAUUAUGUUAGCUUAGAGAAAAAGGGGAAGGACACCAUCGGAGGCAAGCCCUAAGUCAGAAAAUCGAUAAUUAAUUUUUUUUCCAAGUAGGAUUUGAACCUACGAUCUAUCGAUUAGCGUGCAUAGACUUCUGCUUUCCUUAGGAGGAUUUCUUGUCUUAUGAAAAGAAAUUUAAUUCAUUUUUUCGGGAAUACUGGAAAAAGUCACUCAUCCUUACACUACUAAAAAACUGCCAAAAAACGAUGGACUGCAUCGCAUUUUUGGUCAAAAUCAACGAAAAGCGACGUAGUCAUAUUCGUCACUUUUUGGCUAGACGCUUGUCCGUCGCUUUUUGAUUAUUUUUUUCAGGAAUUUUUUUUAACAAAAGCGACUGACUGCGUCGCUUCUUUUAUAUUUUCAUUUAUUUUUUAUUUCCAAUAAGUGACGCAGUCCGUCGCAUUUCUAGAAAUUAAUAUUUUAAAAAUCCCAGAAAAGUGACGAACUAAAGGACACUGUCCGUCGCUUUUCUGGAAUUUAAUUUUUUAAAAUACCAAGAAAAGCGACGGACUAAAGGACCCUGUCGGUCGCUUUUCUGGGUUUAUUUGAAAAAAAUAAUGCAAAAAAGCAACGGACAAAACCACCCUGUCCGUCGUUUUUUUCUGCAAUUUUUUGACGCUAGUUUCUGCUGCCACCUGCAAAUAUAAAUCAAUCAAUUCAAUUCAAUUCAUAUUCAACUAGCCCAACAAAUAAUAUAAUGUAAACACACAACAUAUACAACAUCAAACUUAAAUCAAUCUUCAAAACUAAACAAAUCACAAUACAAAAACUUAUAAAGUAUUUCACAAUGUGUUUCAAAAUGUGUUUCAAAAGAGAUCUAAACUAGGGAGUGACAUCUACAAAAUCAUCCUCCUCAUCACUAUCGUCGUCGGUGUCCUCGGGAGCCGAAGUAGUAGGUCGACGAGCGAGGUUCAGCACUUGUUCUUUGAUUUGCUGAACGAUCGCACUCAUGCUUUGUUGUUCAGCUACUCUUCUCUGCUCCGACUCUGCCAGUGCCGAUGUAAGCUGUGCUAUUUGAGCCGACAUAGUAGCAAUCUGAACACCGUCAAGUGCCUCGGCUUGCGUGACGAUCCAAUACCUUCUAAGCCUGACUGGAGUCUUCUUACAUCGUUUCGAGAGCCUCGACCAUAGACUCUACCCUUGUGUGUCCCUCCCUACCACUUUCUCUGUCCAAAUUUGGGUGGACAGUUCAUGUGUCAUUUGGAACGAACUAUCCAAAUUCUUAGCGACGUACUGAUGAAACUCAUUCUGCAUAUUAAAUAUAAAAAUUAACCUCAAUAUAUAUAUACAUAUCAUAAAUAUAUUCACUAUUAAUAUAUAUUAUUCAUAUUAAAUAACAUACAAAAGUUCGUUCGACCCUUUCCUCGACCCACACAUCCGGAUCCGACUCAUUUUUUUUCUUCUUCACACGAGUCUUCUUGAAAACCUUUGGUUCAAUGGGAGUGCGCCCCAAUUCUUUUUCCUAUAAAUAAAAAUUGAAAUUUAUAACGAUAUAUAUGAAUAAACUAAUUAUUUAUUUAAAAGUUUGAAUUAGAACUUACCAUCUCUCUUGUAAUUGUUCCAACUGUCUUUGCACCUUCAGUGUGCAACGAUCCACCCUUAAGACUGCCUUUAGCCUUUUUGGCUUGUUCGGAAAUUGCCUUAAACUUUUCUGUGUUCUAAUAUGCACGCAAAUCAUCAAAACAUGAGGCAACAUCCAACCCGAACGUUGAUCAGUAUCCCAAACUUUCUUUAGACAGCUAGACAGUCUCACGGAUGCCCUCCUCUCAAAUGUGGUCGCAAUGACCAAAUUGUACCUCAACUCCCAAGUACACAUAGUCUGAAAAAAAUUGAAUAGCGUUAAUUAGAUCGAUAGUAAAAAGUAAAGUAUACUAAAAUUAUUAAAUUUAACUAAAAAUAUAUACCUUAAAUUCAUUAAACAUCGCCUGGCGUAUACUGUUUGGAAUCUCGUUCCAAGAGUGAUAAGCCUGUGUGUAAAGUCUUCUAACACAGUCUUUUAAAGCCCGGGCAGCAUCCUUUGCAGGAUGCCACCUGCAAAACACAUAAUAAAUAUGUUAGUUCAUGAAUAAUAUAUUAAAGUAUAAGAAAUAAAUAAAAUAAAAGAACAAAUAGAUAACAAAACAAACUUACGAUGAUCCAUCCGGCUCAAUCAUGACUCUACCAAGUCCGUCCUUCUGGCCAGGAGCUAGAGCAGGCAUCGCAGCAUAUGGUGUAGCACUAGGUGCAGCUGUAGAUGAAGGUGAUACACUAGGAUGCACAAAACGUUGAGUCAAUGGAGGCGUACCGGCCAUAGCAUCCGACUGCUUGCUACUAGAAUCUCCAAUCCUCAUGACAGAUAACUGAGGAGAUGUACCUAUGGGAGAUGGAGUACCAUCCGAUAUCCACCUGCCGAUAAGGGUCGUGGUCGACGAAUAGCCUAUAAAGGUAGGUCCUCGUAGCGACGUGGAGGCAAUGCCUAUGAAUAGAGGAAACACCGGCUGGUCGAUGAUAAUUAGGACAAUAUUGUCGAGGAUCUGCCGUACCAAACGGAACAACAAAUAAAUGAGUAUCAUGACUGAUGCGCUCUGGCGCAGAAGAAAUAGAUCCUGGAAUAUCCUCAGGAUCUAUGAGUCUCCUAGCUGACUUCUUCUUUUUAGCCUUAUUAGUCUGGCCAACUCCAAGAUGUUUGCGAUGUUUAUCACCGUCACCACUUGAUAACAUUUGUAUGCAAAUUUACAUGUAUAAUAUAUAAAAAUCAUAAAUUAAAUAAAAUUAGCAAAAUAAAUUAACUUACAUAUACUAGCUUUCAUUCUACUACUAUUCCUCCUCGCUUGUUUCAAUUCCAUCAUUCUCCCAUUCUUCUUCUUCAGUUGUUUCAUUUUCAUUAUCGUCCCAUUCUUCAUCAUCAAAUGAUUCAUUUUCCUCAUUCUCCGAUAUUUCUUUCUCAACAUUCAGUAUCUCAUCAUCAAAUACUUCUUUUAAUAUGUGUUGAGGAUGUUGUAGUGUGGUUUCCAAUUCAAUAUCAACUUGUUGAUGAACAAUUGCAACAUCAUUUUGAUAUGCCACAUCUAAGACAUUGUCAAUUUCAAUUCUUCCCACAUGCUUACUUUUUAUAUCAACCCACCAAUCAGCUAUGUCUCUACGCAAUGGAUAUGAAGCGUAAUACACUUGUUUAGCAUUUUGUGCAAUAAUAAAAGGAUCAUAACUUCUGUAUUUCCUGUUGUGCUUAACUUCAAUUAUAUUAUGUUGAUGGUCCACCUUUGUGCCUCUAUGUGAUGGGUCAAACUACUCACACCGAAACAAUACAAUCUUCUUCUUAGGCCAACCUGAAUACCUCACUUCAAUAAUCUCUUGAAUGACACCAUAAUAUUCAAUAGUUUGGCCAGUACCAUCAACAUCACCUUGUAUGUAGACGCCACUAUUAUUUGUUUUCUUGUUCCUAGAAACUUCUUCAGUUUGAAACUUAAAACCAUUAGCACAAUACUUAUUCAUUGUCAGUACUUGAGAUUCAGGUCCAAGUGCUACUUCUUUCACUAAUUGCAAAUGUUGGACACUUGAGUAUUCAUCGUAAACCUACGUGAUUGUUAUUUCAAGUAAUAUAAUUUAGUAUAACAUGAAUAUAUUAUUAAAUACUUAGUGAUUGCACACUUACAUAGCUUCUUAGCCAUUUGGAAAAUUCUGUAUAGAUGGCUUCAUUACCCUAUGUGUUUACGAACAAGCUGAUCAUUUUACAUUCAAGUAUUUCGUUAGUUAAUGAACACUUAUUAAUAUGUAAUUUGAUAACAUAUUUUUAACACUUACUUGAGAUAUGGUUGAAUCUCUGGACAAUUAAGCAAAAUAUGUGUCACAACUGAUUGCAUUUUCAUAUCAGUGAAGCCUCGCUUUCCACGCUUUUUAAAUCCUCGACCAUUUUGAUUAAAAAUUGAUAUCGGUGGAGAUAAAGGAUCAAUAUCGCCUUCAUCAUUGCGAUUGGGCCUGUUUCUCCUACAUGACACAUCAUCACCAAAGUAACAAGAAUAAAAAUCAUGAGUUUCUCUCCCAAUAUGACAUUGAACAACAGAUCCUUCGAUCUUUCCCCUUUGCUUAAUUGUUUGCUUGGAACUGCCAAUUUUUCUGCAUGUAUAUGCAUAUAUAUAUGUUAAUAAAAGACUUCGUGAAUAUUUCAAAUGGGUACAUCUCAAAUGGAUACAUCCAUCUUGUUUGAACCGGACCUUCGAGGCGGGCCUCUUGUACAAGGUGAAUUGGAAGAUGCUCCAUCACAUCAAAGAAACCACAUGGAAAUAUCUUCUCCAACUUAGUAGUAAUAACAAGAAUAUUUUCCUCCAUCCUGUCUAAACUACUCUCCAACAACUUUCCAGAACACAAAUCUUUUAAAAAAAGAGUUAUCUCUGUGAUUGGUUUUCAUAUCCUUUCGGGUAGAUGACUAAAAGCGAUAGGAAUUAAAGUUUCCAUGAACACAUGACAAUCAUGACUUUUCAUACCUAUCAAUUUUCCUUCAUUCAUAUCUGUCCGCUUUCCUAAAUUCGAAGCAUAGCCCUCCGACAUCCUCAAAUUUUUAACCCACUCACAAAUUUCACGUUUCUCAUCCAAUGUGAAUGAAAAGCUAGCUUUGGGUUUAACUGUUUUACCAUUUUGUAAUUCCUGCAGCCAUAACUCUUUUCUCCUACAAUAUUCCUUUAUGUCCAUUCUAGCUUUUGGAUUGUCUUUUGUCUUACCCUUAACAUCCAUCAUUGUGUUAAACAAAUUGUCAAAAUAUUUUUUUUAAAUUAUAUUUAUUAUUACAUAUGUCGUAGCAGAUUGUCCUUCCAAUACGGCAACUCCCAAAAUAUGCUUUGUUUGGUCCAAUUAUGUUCAACACCAUAUCCAGGAAGUAUAGAAGGUGAAGCUUCUAUAACUUUAGGUAAUUGAGAAACUCUCUCCCAAAUUCGAUGCCCUGUGAGUAAUAGAGGUGUGGGGUCACUUUCAACCUUAUUUUUCCUAAAUGCAUUUUUCAUCUUCCUAAACUCAUGGUCCAUUGGCAAGAACUGGCGAUGACAAUCAAACCAUGUAUUUUUUCUACCAUGCUUUAAAGUGAAUUUUAAGCCAAGAAUAAUUAGUUAUAUUCAAGUUCUAAUUAAGCUCAACAAUUUCAAGUUCUAAUUAAAUUCAUCAUAUAUAUCCAAUUUCUAAAAUUAGUUAUACAUAAAAUUCUAACUCAAGAAUUAAUUAGUUAUAUUCAAAUUUCAAGUUCAAGUUCUAAAUCUAACUUCAAUUCAUCUUAACUUAUAACAAUCAAUCAAUCCUAACUAAAAUAAAAACUCCUAAAUCAUUCACUAACUAACUAACAAUCAAUAAAAAACAAAUUAUUCAAUACUAAUUAACAAUAUCUCAAACUAACAAUCAAUAAAAAACUAAUUCAAUACACUAAUUAACAAAUUCAAUACUCAAAUUGAAAGAAAUUAAAAAUAAUUUCAUGAAACCCUAACCUUGAAUUAAAGGAGAAGGAGACAAUGGAGAGACAGUAGGGUCGGGGUCGGGUCUGGCAGCGUCGGCGCAGUAGGUAGCGUUGGCGUCUAGAGAGAGGAAGAGAAGAGAGAUGGAAAAAUGGAGAAUUUCGCAUCUAUGCUAUCAGAUAUUUUUAAAAAAGUGACGGACAAUGUCUCUUUGUCCAUCGCUUUUUAAAAAAUAUUUGACCAACAUUUUGACCAAAAAGCGACGGACUAAGAGAUGUUGUCCGUCACUUCUUUAAAAAAUAAUUAAUCAAUUAAAAUUAAUAAAAAACGACGGACGACGUGGUUAUUUUUUAAUUUAUAAAUAAUUAUUUUUAAUAAAAAGCGACGGAUAGCGUCUCUAACUAUUUUUAAUAAUUAAUUAUUAAAUAUAUAUCUAUUUGGCAUAAAAUUCGCGAAAUAAAGCGACGGACUAAGAGAUGCUGUCCGUCGCUUUUUGUAAAAUAAUUUUAAAAAAUAUUAUUUAAAAAAAAUUAUUUUUAUUCAAAAGCGACGGACAGUGUGGCAAUUGGCGUCGCUUUUCGAAGUGACGCCGUCCGUCGAUUCUUAACAGAUUUUUAGUAGUGUUAAACGCCUAAGGAGGAUCCUAUUCUUGUGCAAUUGUUGUGUACUCCUAUCUAUUGUUGUUUCUAUCAAGAUAAGAAAUCAUAUAAUUCUUUCUAUCCUUGUACUUUCUCGCUCUUAUGGAGUUGUAUUCCCUAGGUUAUGUGGUUAUAUUUCCUGGUCUGACAGUAUCAAGGAGAAAAUAUUUGACCUUUUUCGCCAUUGCUCCUUCUUAUGGGAGCUCACUAACAUAAAUCUUUUCACCGUUUCUCUUUAAUAAGUUGUCCUCAUUGGUUUUGCUGACAAAUGAUUAGGAGAAGGAUAGUGCAUAAUCCAUCAAUCUAAUCAUACUAUAACUGCCAAGUAAGAAGGCAAGCUUUAUUCAAUAGAAUGUCAUCCUAAAAGAGAACCAGUACCAGGGAAUAUAUGAAUCUAUUUUCUCAUCUUCUAAAGACCGAGCCGUGUUGGGUUAUGAAGGUGAUCUUGGCGUCAUGCGGAAGCUUACAAUUGCAAAUCAUUGAGAUGUAUAUUAGAUGACAAACAAAACUAUUCUAAAAGACAUAAUAUUAUUAGAGGUUGGUCAAACGACCUACAUAUUAAAAACUAAUAAAAAGAAAAUAUUAAAAUUGUUUAGGGAAAAUCUCCCCAUAAACAAAACUCUUUAUUGACUACAUUGUGGAUGUUCUUGUGUUAUGCUAUGCGAAUAGGGAUCUUCAAUUUAUAGAUCUCCAAACUUUUCCUCUAAGGAAAGAAUAAACCUAAUAUGAAAGAAAAUUAUAUUUUCCUUUCAGUAAAAGUUAAAUCAUCUAUGGUAACACUUUGACUUUUCUUUAAGGAAAAAAAUAAACUUCAAAUAAGGAAAGAAAAUCAGGGUAAAACCCUAACAAGCCGUUCUUACAAAAGUCAUCAAUCCUUAAAGAUGUUAUCCAUAUAUUAUGACUCUUUCAGUCUUAGGUCUAUCCAUAAUGAAAGUCCAAACAAUAAGACAUCACAUUCUUUUGGUAGAGCACUUCUUUUUUAGGAUCCUUAUCUCAUAUUUAGUCUGUGCCAGUAGUGAUAUCUUGAUUCGACUACCUCUCCCACUGUAACACUUUGGAAAUUGGAUAGUUGAAAGGAAAGGAAAUGUCCAGAUUUUUAGCCCUGAGGUAGUGACUACGAGUCGUUUCUACGGAUUGUAGGAAGUCUUACGGGCUGUAGAAGGGAAGUUGUACAGUUGAGUUAAGUUUUUAUUUUUAGAAAAUUCUAGUUUAUAAAGUUUGGUCUACGAGUAGCCAGGACGAGCCGUAGUAAUUUGGAUGUGCCAUAGAUGGCACCCGUAAAAGUGAUUCAUACUUAGUGGAAUUUUGGACUUGAAGUUAGGUUCUACAAAAGGGUUCGACGGACCAUAGAAUGAAUGACGGGUCAUAGUGGUCUCAUGGGAAAUGAAUGAAUUUUGGGUUUCUGAAGUUAGUUAGUACGGGCCGUAGGAAGUCCUAUGGUUUAUAGGUCCAAACCGUAGAAGCCAUCUGACAUUUAUUAUUAAGGCUAUUUGAGUCUUUUCCUAUGCAUUUAAUACCUUUUACUAUGUCGUUUUGACCCUAAUUCUAAGACCUAAAACUACCUUCCAACUCCUAAGUCUAUCCAAACCCUUUUAUUCUCUCAAAUCCCCAAUUCCUAUCCAAGUUUAUCCUCUCCAAUUCUCUCUCAAGAUCAAGGAACAAACCUAGGAUUCAAGAUUCAAGUCUCCUUUUUUAUCCAUUUCUUUUGGGCUUUGAUCAUCAAGGUAUGAUGGGAUUCACCAAUGGAUUCUAUUCAUCCAUUGGGUCCCUCAAAAUCUCUAAGUUUCCAAUUAAAUUUCACCUAAAUUGCUUAGGGUUUCAUGUGAUCUUCAUGGGUCUUAAUUGAUGUUGAUUUAAUUAUUCAAUUUCAAUCUUCCUAUGUAUGUUUUGAUUAAACUACAUGAUUUCAAAUUGACUUCUAUAAGAUCCAUGCAUUAUUCAUGAUUUUUAGUUUGAAUUUAUGAAGAAAGCCAUAGAGUUAUGAAUAUGAAUUAUGAAAAUUAUGAAUCUUUUGAUGAGAAAGAUGUUUAUGAUCUAAGAUUAUUUUUAAAGUGAUUAUCAAUGAAAUUAUGAAAAGAUUUUCUCACAUAUUAAGAGAUCAUGAUCGGUGAAAGGUUUUUUCACACUUGUUUGAAUCUUGGUUUAAGGAGUUACUCUAUGAUGACUUAAGCUUGGAUUAGUGACUUAAUGGUGGAUUUACAUGUAUGAUGAUAUGUUUAUGAAUAUCACUAUUCCAUUGGGGUUUUUACUUAGCAUCGAAAGAACACUGAGAUAGAGGCCUUCUUUGUCUCUAGUAGCAAUCUCAUUGUCCCUAACUAUGUGCCCCAUAUGAUUGUCUUAGAAAGACAUACCUAGUGGAUCCACCUAAUUUAGAAGUUCAUGGUCCUUACUUUGGUAAGUAGUACAUCUCUUUUCAGUGUGGAAGCAAGACACCAGAUUCCAUGUUAUUGCUCACACGGUCUAUGUUGGUUAACGAUAAAUAACCCAUAAAAUGAACUAAGUUAUUUUCAAAGGCUUCAUGAAGCUUUCAUUAAGAUUUUAAGAUGCAUUGACCAUGCUCAUGAUUUAUGAUUCUUCUUUGAAGGUUUUACUAUAUUUUUGCUUCAUCAUGCAUAUCAUGUUUUCCUUUAUGUCCCUUUAUGAUCAUAUUUCACAUUUUUAUGCAUAUCCUUCAUACUUAGUACAUCCUAUGUACUAAAUCAUACUUGUACUUACACUGUUAAUAAUGUAGGGUUAGACACUUCUUCUCCUCCCGCUCGUGGCUAGAUACAAAUUGCUAUCUAUUGUUUUGGAUUGGCGAGUCCUCAUAUUUCAAGGGCAAGACCAUGAAGACUUUACUUGUUAAUGCCAUUUAGCUUUGAGAAUUUGUAUGUGCUGUAUGUUUUAAGUCUCAACCACUCUAUUAAUGUUUAAUAAAGCUUGUCAAGACUGAGUAUAUUCCACACUUUUGAUUCAAACUUCUCUUUAUGAUGUGAGACUUUCUACAUAAAUUCUACUUUGUUUAUCAUUGUGUUGUAUGCAUGUCAAGUGGAUUUUGUAGGUCCUUUCGGGUCUUAUACGUUAAGUCACAUCUAGGGUGUACUUUGGGUCAUGACAAACUUGUUAAUUAGAGCACAAGGUUUAAGAAAAGGUCAUAAAAUGUUUGACAAACCGCGUUUAGUAGAGUCUUAUUCAUGAGUGUGAAGCACGCCAUAUUUAUGAACAAGAGGCUACAAAGUGUUUAGUAAACUUCACUUCUUUCAUUACUCUUAAGUCGUGCCAUAGAUUUUAUCUCUAUAAGGAUCCUUCUCCUAAAUCUUGUCCAAUGCUUUUUUAGAUAUGACCCCUCGAAGAGCUCACAUGAGAAGGAAUGUGGACGACAAUGUGGAGCCUGAGGUUCCUCAACUUCUGAUUGACCCUUUGGCCUAGCAUGUGAUUCAUGUCAAACUCUAAGCUAAUUUUGAAGUGUUGGCUCAAGAUAUGACGGCCCAAGUUAAUGGAGAAUUCGUUGCUCCCGUGAACCCAAAUAUGGGUACGGUGGCGACAAGGAUAAGAUACUUACUAGGAUGAAUCCUUCGAAAUUCAUGGGUCGAAGGUGGAUGAGGAUCCUCAAGAGUUCAUCAAUGAGAUUUACAAUAUAGUGGGAAUUAUAGGGGUGUCUAUGGUAGAGAAGGAGUAAUCGGCUGCUUAUCAACUCAAGGGUGUUUCUCAAGUUGUGUUUGAACAAUAGAAAAGUGAAAGGGCUACUGAUGCGCUCCUCUUGAUUCAGAGAAAAUCAAGGGAGCUUUAUGUGAUUGCUUCUUUCCUCUUGCGAUAAGGGAGGCAAAAGACUUGAAUUCAUUAAUCUCCGACAAGGUGAUAUGAGUGUGAAAGAGUAUACUUUGAAAUUCACUCAAUUGGCUAAGUAUGCUCUGACUAUGGUUGCUGACACUAGGGUAAUGAUGUGUAAGUUUAUGUCAGAUGUUUGGUUGUCAAAAAAUGUCGAACCACUAUGCUAAUCAAGGAGAUGUAUAUCUCCCAUUUGAUGGUACAUUCCCAACAAAUCAAAGCAGAAAAGAUCAUGGAAAGGGCAAAAGAAUCUAAGAAGGCAAGGACUAGUAAUAUUGACUUUUCUCAUUCUAGGUCUGGUGGACGAGGUCGUUCUAAAUUCAUGCAAAGGAUUUAAGGUCAAGGUUAUUCUAAUGCUCUGACCUUUAAUUUCAACAAGGACAGGGUGUCUAACCCUAAGUCUCAAGGAGGAAAUAGUGGUGGAUCUUCAAUGCCCAAUUGCACAUGGUACGACAAGAAACAUGAUGCCAAGUGUUUGGCCGGUAUGGAUGGUUGCUUUAAUUUUCGAAAGAGCGGUCAUAAUAUAAGAUAUUGUCCAUUGCUUGCUACUAUGGGAAGGGAUGGCAGGAAAUCUCAACCUAAUGGUUCUAGUUUUGGUAUAUCGAAGCAAAACAUAUUAUAUGCUCUUCAAACUCUACAGGAUCAUAAGGGUUCUCCAGAUGUUGUGACCGAUAAUUUGAAAGUCUUUCACCUUUAUUUUUAUGCUUUAAUUUAUCCAGGUGCAUUAUUAUCCUCUGUUACUCCUUAUUUUGCCAUGAGGUUUGGUAUAGGUCCCGAAAUCCUUUCUAAUCCCAAUCAUGUCUCUACUCCCAUUAGUGAUACUAUUGUUGCUAAAAGAGUUUAUAAAAGUUGCCCUGUUUCUGUUUCUCAUAGAGUCACUCAUGUUGAUCUUGUAGAGAUUGAUAUGUUAGAUUUUGAUAUUAUUCUUGGGAUAAAUUGGAUUCAUGCAUGUUGUGCUUCCAUAGAUAUUAGGACCCGAUUGGUCAGAUUUAAGGUUCCAACGAACUUAUCAUAUCAUGGGAAGGGGGAAAUUAUGUUCUUAAUGGUCAAUUUAUAUCUUGCCUAAAGGUUAGGAAGAUAAUAUCUAAGGGUUGCAUUUAUCAUAUUGUCUCGGUUAGGAAUAUAGAUUUUGAGAACCCUACCCUUAGUAAGUUCUAAUUGUAAAUGAGUUUCUGGAAGUGUUUCCUGAUGAUCUUCUCGGUAUUCCUCCCAAAAGGGAAAUAGACUUUGGUAUUGACCUUCUCCAAGAUACACAACCUAUCUCUAUUCCUACUUACCGUAUGACCCUAAUAGAGUUAAAUGAUUAGUUGAAAGACUUAUUGGAUAUGGAAUUCAUUAGACCAAGUAUCUCACCACGGGGUGCUCCAGGGUUGUUUAUUCGAAAGAAGGAUGGUUCACUCCGAAUGUGCAUUGAGUACCGACAAUUGAAUAAGGUUACAAUAAAAAAUAAAUAUCCUAUUCCAAGGAUAGAUGACUUAUUUGACCAACUCCAAUGAGUGAGUUACUUCUCUAAGAUUGACUUUCGAUCAGGUUAUCACCAAUUGAGGGUGAAGGAGAGUGACAUUCUGAAGAUGGCUUUUUGAACCCGGUAUGGUCAUUAUGCAUUUUUGGUAAUGUUUCUUGGUUUGACUAAUACCCCGAUGAUGUUUAUGGAUGUGAUGAAUAGGGUCUUUAAGCAAUAUUUUUACAUGUCUGUAAUUGUGUUUAUUGAUGAUAUUUUGAUUUACUCACGGAGUGAGGAUGAUCAUGUUGAACAUUUGAUGAUUGUGUUGCUAAUUCCCAAGGAUCAUGAAUUGUAUGCUAAGUUUAGCAAAUGUGAGUUUUUUUUGAGGUUUGUUCCUUUUCUUGGCCAUAUUUUCUCUAAUGAGGGUAUUCAAGUUGAUCCUAAGAAAGUUGAUGUGGUUAAAAAUUUGCCUAGACCUUUGUUUGCUUUAGAUAUAUAAAGUUUCUUGGGUUUAGCCUAUUAUUAUAGGAGGUUUGUGGAAGGAUUUUCAUCUAUUGCUUCACCUUUUAGGCCAUUGACUCAAAAAGGUGAAAUUCCUAUGGUUGGAAGCUUGUGAGAAGAGUUUCCAAGAGUUGAAGGAUAGACUCACUUCAACCCUUAUUUCAACAUUACCAGAAGGAUCAAAUGGUUUUGUAGUAUAUUGUGAUGCUUCAAGGAUUGGUCUUAGUUGUGUUUUGAUGCAACAUGGAAAAGUUAUUGGUUACACUUCUAGGCAAUUGAAGGUUCAUGAAAAGAAUUAUCCGACUCAUGAUUUGGAGUUAGCAGUGGUAGUGUUUGCUCUAAAGAUUUGGAGACAUUACCUAUAUGGUAUUCAUGUAAAUGCGGUUACCGAUCACAAGAGCUCAAAGUAUAUGUUCACUCAAAAGGAUUUUAUUCUUCACCAACGUAGAUGGUUUGAGUUGGUGAAGAAUUACGACACGAGUGUCCUAUUUAUGAUCCCAUUAAAGCGAAUGUGGUGGCUGAUGCUCUUAGUCGACUAUCAAUGGGAAGUGUUUCUCAUGUUGAGGAUGGUAAGUGUAACACCUCAAAAUUGGAAAAAAGGUAAGGACUUCAUGUUUUGGCUAUUGGUUGUAUCCUUUGAGACUAGUCUACGGUUAGUGGAUGGCACUAGUAGGAAUGAGGUUAAGUUUAAGAAGAAUUUGUGUUUCUGAAGAUUGACCUAUGAGUGAAUAGGACGGGUCGUCGUUUGAACUAUGGGUCCUAGAUGGGUUCCGUAGAGGGUCCCAGACUUGGUAAAAUUUUGGGCUUGAACUUGGGUUUUAUUAGUUGGCUCUGCAAGUCAUAAAAAGGUUUGACGGGCUAUUGGAAGGUCUCAUGGGAAGUGAAAGAAUUUUGGGUUUCUAAAGUUUAUUCUAUGGUUGACCAGUAUGGGGUGUAGGAAGUCCUACGGACCGUAGGUCCAAAUCAUAGAAGCCAUCAACAAUUUUUGUUGAAGGACAUUUGGGUCUAAUCUUAUGCAAUUUAUACCUAAACUAUUUUGUUUUGACCCUAAUUCUAAGACCUAUAACUAACUUUCAACUCCUAAAUCUACCCAAACCCUCUCAUUCUGUCAAAUCCCCAAUUCCCAUCCACAUUCAUCCUGUCCAAAUUCUCUCUAGCCUCAAGGAAGAAAUCUAGGGUUCAAGCUUGAAGUCCCUUCCCCCCCCCCCAUUGAUUUGUGGAUUUGAUCAUCUAGUUAUGUGGUAAUUAACCAAUGGAUUCAAUUUAUCCAUUGGGUCCCAAUAGAUUUCAAUUCUCCAAUUCAGUUUCAUCAAAAUUGGUUAGGUUUUAUCCAAUUCUCCAUGGGUCCUAAUUGUUAUUAUUCAAUUGAUUGAUUUUAAACUUAUUAUAAAUGAAUUGAUCCAAUUUUAUGUUUUUCCAAUUGACUUCAUAUAAACCCAUUCAGUAUUCAUGAUUUUGAAUAUGGAUUUGUGAAUGUCACGCCCAAAAUCCCAUUAAGGCGAACCGGCACCCGUUGCCGAGAAGGCUCGGGAGAACCAACAUGUAAUCAUGCUCUAUCAAUGAACAUAUAAAGGUGCUGCCAUAAUGGAUAACAUGUUUUCAUGAAAGUAGACAGUAUUAACAAGCCAAAAGAAAGUGCACAUGACUUGGCCGUUAGGACCAUGAUGUCUAAAACACGAGGCACAACCACACUUCACUAUACAUAGUCUACAAAGUCUCUAAAUGAAAAAACAUUAUGGGGUUAAGGUCGGGACAGGCUCCGCCUUACACUCAGCUACUAUAUAAUACCAAAAUACAUGCUAUAGACUCGGAAAUCUCCGAAUCAACCUAGAGCUCACCAAUAGCCGCUGGAUGUCCUGUUCUCCUACUAGAGAGAUCUACUAGCUCCUGUACCUAUAGCAUGAAUUGAAGGUCCCCCGAGAGAGACGUUAGUACGGGAGAAUGUACUGAGUAUGUAAGGCAUAAAGUACUGUCUGUGAAAUAAGAACUCAAAUGAAAUUAUAUACCGAUGUAAGGAUACAAGACCACCUUUUCUCAUAUUAUGGAAUCAUGUACUUUACAUUCUCUUCUUUACUUUAUCAUUCUUUACUUUUACACUCUGUGCAUAACAUAUCAUACAAAUGACCAGCUGAUCAGUGGUAGACAUAUAAAUCGGGAUCGACCCAUGCUAGGCUUUCCUUUAACCCCUGGGAUACCACCCGUAAUAUUGGGAUCGACCCAUGCUAGGUGAUUCUUCCACCCCUGGGAUACCACCUAUCAAUAAGCAGAUUCAUUUAAUAUCCUUCCAUUAAAAUUUGAGAUGAUUCUUUUGGUGUUCAUAGCAUUUUGAGUUGUGGGACUAUGUAGUCAACAAGUGACGUGUAAUAAUCAUAUAAUGCAGGAACAACAACGUAGAGAGUAGUUACACAAUUAAUGAAAUACAUAGGAGCUGAAAUAAUAUAUGGACCUUAUUUAGUUAAAAGGAGAACUGAUACAAGGUAUUCAAUGUAUAUGUACAAAUUUGACAAUGAACAUGUAUUAGAACGUGCAGACAUGUUAAAGAGUGAGAACAAGGUCUUAAGUCGUGUUGGAGCUAGUAGGCUGCCUCUAUGUGUCCAAAACGAGUCUAGAUUUCAUGUCAAUUAGUAGGAAAUCAAAAAGCUUUACAUGCCCUGUUGUACCACCUUGUAGUUACCUUGAAAUAUCUUCCUUUCUUUUCAAAUACUUAUCUACAAUAGAGUAGGUGAUAAACUAGUAUUAGUAGUUACUAAACAUGCUUAGGCAGUCCAAUCUCACUCAACAAUAAUGCUCGAGCAACAAACCCGUAAUUACCAAACUAAGGGUGUUCUUUCAAUCCCCGCCUUCUUUUAUUGCAUUUGUACACUACACAUCUAUAUUUUAAUAUCAACAAUUUACACCCUUUCCAGACAUCAACCAAGCUGUCCCCAAUAUGUUUACACAUCAACCUGUCCCAAAAUAGUCCUAACUAUCCAACCUACAAUAGAGGACGUGAAACCAUAGUUUCCCAUCAUCAUCCCACAAGUUUUUAUCAACAGUAUACUUAGAAUAUCAUACUUAGACUCGUGUUUAAGGAAGACAAAGAUAGGGCAGUCACUUUACCUUAAUUAUUAUAACUCGUUUUCUUUUAACUUUAACUCUUCAAUAACUUGAGCUUCCCUUGCAAGGGAUUGGGUUUAUGCAAGAACCCUAGGAAACUUGUGGCUGCUGCUGUGCUUUGAAGAGAGGAGAAACUUAGAGAGAAAUCUUAUUUCUUUUUAUCUAUUCUUAAAAGUGAGGAAAUGGCCAGCAACGGUCUUAUUUUACCCCACAUCUGAAGUUUUAAUAUCAGCCACUAAUUUGUCAAAGUGGUCUAAGUAGGUGAUGCAUCUGCUUGGAAUUAUAUAUACACAAAAUGGGCCCUUUAUGUACUCAUCUUGGGCUGCAAUCUUUCCCCUUUCUAAUAUUAAGCCAUGGGCCAGAAUUAUACCCUUAAUUUGGGCCUUAAUCUUUAUUGGGGUCAAGUAGUUGGACCUGGACAGAUUGGUGUGAGACCUCAUCUCCAUUCCCUUUUCCUUUUUAUUUAAUUUGGGCCUCAAGUGAGCCCACUAAUUUGGGCCCCAACUACCUUUGAAGUCUAAGACACAAGCUCGAAGCAUAUCCUCAAGUGUUUGGAUUUUGCGUUCUGCUUGACCAUCCGUUUGAGGGUGGAAGGCUGUACUUAAAUUCACUUGUGUUCCCAAACUCUUUUGGAAUGAUUUCCAAAACUUUGCAGUGAAUUUAGCUCCUCAAUCAGAUAUAAUAGAGAUUGGAACCCCGUGUAGCCGAACUAUCUCUUUAAUAUAUAACCUUGCAUACUCUUCAGCUGUAUAAUCAGUCUUAAUUGGGAACAAAUGUGCUGAUUUGGUGUGUCUAUCAACUAUUACCCAUAUGGAGUCAAACUUACAAAACGAGCGAGGCAAACCAGUGACAAAAUCCAUGUUGAUCAUGUCCCACUUCCAAGUUGGAAGUUCCAUACACUGCAUAUAACCUCCCGGCUUUUGGUGCUCUACUCUGACUCGUUGGCAGUUUGGACAUUGAGCCACAAAUUCUACAAUGUACUUCUUCAUGUCCCUCCACCAAUACACUCCUUUCAAGUCAUGGUACAUUUUAGUUGAUCCCGGAUGGAUGGAAUAUCUUGAAUGAUGUGCUUCUGUCAUUAUCCUCCUUCUUAGCCCAUUAACAUUAGGUACACACAAUCUGUUUUGACAACAAAGUACUCCAUCUUGUGUAAGCUCAAAUCCCUUUGUCGUACCUUGAUUUACCUUCUCCUUGAGUCGUUGUAGAGUAAGAUCUUUGAACUGCUUCUCUUUNNNNNNNNNNNNNNNNNNNNNNNNNNNNNNNNNNNNNNNNNNNNNNNNNNNNNNNAACGUCAUAAUCUUUUAUUAACUCUAACCAUCUUCACUGCCUCAAAUUCAGAUCCUUUUGCUUGAAGAUGUAUUGCAAACUUUUAUGGUCUGUAUAUAUGUCAACGUGAACUCCAUAUAAAUAGUGACUCCAUAUCUUUAAAGCAAAUACAACCGCUACUAGUUCAAGAUCUUGUGUUGGGUAGUUUCUCUCAUGUGGCCGCAAUUGUCUUGAGGCAUAAGCUAUUACUUUACCAUGUUGCGUGAGUACACAUCCUAAACCAACCCCUGAAGCAUCACAAUAUACUAUAUACCCCUCUGUGCCUUCUGGAAGUACUAAUACAGAUGCAGAAGUUAGCCUACUUUUCAACUCUUGUAAGCUUCUUUCACAUGCAUCAUUCCACUGAAACUUAGCUGCCUUGUGUGUUAGCUUAGUUAAAGGUGCAGAAAUAGAAGAAAAUCCUUCAACGAACCUUCUAUAAUAACUUGCCAACCCUAGGAAGCUACGAUCCUCUGUGGGUGUUGUUGGUCUUGGCCAAUCUUUCACAGUUNNNNNNNNNNNNNNNNNNNNNNNNNNNNNNNNNNNNNNNNNNNNNNNNNNNNNNNNNNNNNNNNNNNNNNNNNNNNNNNNNNNNNNNNNNNNNNNNNNNNNNNNNNNNNNNNNNNNNNNNNNNNNNNNNNNNNNNNNNNNNNNNNNNNNNNNNNNNNNNNNNNNNNNNNNNNNNNNNNNNNNNNNNNNNNNNNNNNNNNNNNNNNNNNNNNNNNNNNNNNNNNNNNNNNNNNNNNNNNNNNNNNNNNNNNNNNNNNNNNNNNNNNNNNNNNNNNNNNNNNNNNNNNNNNNNNNNNNNNNNNNNNNNNNNNNNNNNNNNNNNNNNNNNNNNNNNNNNNNNNNNNNNNNNNNNNNNNNNNNNNNNNNNNNNNNNNNNNNNNNNNNNNNNNNNNNNNNNNNNNCACUUGGCACCUUGUAACUGAUCAAACAAAUCAUCAAUUCUGGGGAUGGGGUAUUUAUUUUUAAUUGUCACUCUAUUCAAUUGUCGAUAGUCGGUACACAUUCUCAACGUUCCAUCCUUCUUACGUACAAAUAACACUGGUGCACCCCAUGUGGACACACUAGGCCUUAUAAACCCCUUUUCUUACAAGUCCUUUAAUUGUUCCUUUAAUUCACGUAAUUCUGUCGGGGCCAUUCUAUACGGAGGAAUAGAGAUAGGUUGAGUGCCUGGAAUUAAAUUGAUACCAAACUCCACUUCUUGUUCUUGGGGUAAACCUGGAAGCUCUUCAGGAAACACAUCAAUAAAUUCAUUUACUACCGGAACAGAUUGAAGAGUCGGUAGUUCUGCCUCCACAUCUCUCACUCUAACUAGAUGAUAUAUAUACCCUUUUGACAUCAUCUUCCUCGCCUUCAAAUAAGAAAUAAAGUUACCCCUUGGCGCUGCAACAUUGCCUUCCCAUUCAAGGACUGCCUCGUUUGGAAAGUGAAAGUGUACUCUCUUAGUUCGGCAAUCCACCGUGGCAUAACAAGAAGCCAACCAAUCCAUACCCAUUGUAACAUCAAAUUCAACCAUUUCUAGUUCAAUUAGGUCAGCCAAUGUAUCACGAUCACAAAUAGUUACUAUGCAGUUAUGAUAGACCCUUCUUGCUAUAAUAGACUCACCGGUUGGUGUAGACACUUCAAAUGGUUUAUUCAAUAAUUUUGGUGUUCUUAUAAGCUUCCCAGAAACUAGUGGAGUGAUAUACGAUAGUGUGGAACCAGGAUCAAUUAACGCAUAUACAUUAGGUGAAAAGAUGAACAAUGUACCUGUUACUACGUCAGGUGAAGCCUCCAAGUUCUAUCGACUCCCUAGAGCAUAUGUGCGAUUUUGGACUCCGCUAAAACUAGCUGCUCCUCUAACACCUCUACCACGACCUGUAGGAACCUGUUGACCUCUACCUAAGGAGGAACCGAUGAUGAUGAUGCAACAGCUGAUCCAGUAGGUUGUGCUAUAUCACCCAUGUGCCUUUUAGGGCAAUCUCUCAUUAGGUGCCCUGGCAUACCACACCAAUAACAGGCUUCUGUUCCAAUACGAUAUAAACCUAAAUGACUCCUCCCACAUUGUUUACAAGGCUGUCUAGGAGGCAUUGAUUGGCUUGUACUGCCCUGCUCUGGAUAUCCAUCUAACCCGGUGAAUGAUGGAGGGUCCAAAUUAAGGAAAUCACGUAUCCGCAUGCUAGCUGCCCUAUCUGCACCACCAAUACCCGUAACUGGUCCUUCUUGCCUUUGACCUUGGCCAGCAACUAUACGAGUCAAUAAUUGAACCGCAUUCCUCAAAUCUUGCUCGGUAGCAUUAAUAGUGGGUUCUUGAGGUGCAACUUCCCUCCUUAGAUCUUCUGUAGAUGGAGGGGUCAGAGAAGUCUGUGAUAGAGACUCAUCUUGAGCCUCACUUUGAACAGCUUGAUUAGGUGGUGGUUGGCUGGUCCCUUCUUGGGUAGCCACAUCUACUCGCUUACCUGUACUUUUACUCCUUGUAAUCGGCAUCUUUUGCUAUAAUAAAGCAAUUUAGAAGUUAAAUACGAUUCUCCUACAACAUUGGUUCUAUCGCACGAUCUAAGAAAUGAAACAAUUUCUACAUGUCUCAUAGCUUCCUGUUUAUAAAUCUGGUGCACAACACAUCCAUAAGCAAGAUUCUAUAGAGACACGACUUUGUAGACUCCCUAGGAUGAUCUUCUCUGAUACCACUUUUGUCACGCCCAAAAUCCCAUUAAGGCGAACCGGCACCCAUUGCCGAGAAGGCUCGGUAGAACCAACCUGUAAUCCUGCUCUAUCUAUGAACAUUUAAAGGUGCUGCCAUAGUGGAUAACAUGUUUUCAUGAAAGUAGACAGUAUUAACAAGCCAAAAGAAAGUGAACAUGACUUGGCCGUUAGGACAAUGAUGUCUAAGACACGAGGCACAACCACACUUCACUAUACAUAGUCUAAAAAGCCUCUAAAUGAUAAAACAAUAUGGGGUUAAGGUCGGGAUAGGCCCCGCCUUACACUUAGCUACUAUAUAAUACCAAAAUACAUGCUAUAGACUCGGAAAGCCCCGAAUCAACUUGGAGCUCACCAAUAGCCGUUGGAUGUCCUGUUCUCCUACUGGAGAGAUCUACUAGCUCCUGUACCUGCAACAUGAAUUGCAGGUCCCCUGAGAGAGACGUCAGUACGGGAGAAUGUACUGAGUAUGUAAGGCAUAAAGUACUGUAUGUGAAAUAAGAACUCAAAUGAAAUCAUAUACCGAUGUAAGGAUACAAGACCACCUUUUCUCAUAUUAUGGAAUCAUGUACUUUACAUUCUUUUCAUUACUUUAUCAUUCUUUACUUUACAUUCUGUGCAUAACAUAUAAUACAAAUGACUAGCUGAUCAGUGGUAGAUAAUAAAUCGGGAUCGACCAUGCUAGGAUUUCCUUUAACCCCUGGGAUACCACCCGUAAUAUUGGGAUCGACCCAUGCUAGGUGAUUCUUCCACUCCUGGGAUACCACCUAUCAAUAAGCAGAUUCAUUUAAUAUAUUUCCAUUAAAAUUUGAGAUGAUUNNNNNNNNNNNNNNNNNNNNNNNNNNNNNNNNNNNNNNNNNNNNNNNNNNNNNNNNNNNNNNNNNNNNNNNNNNNNNNNNNNNNNNNNNNNNNNNNNNNNNNNNNNNNNNNNNNNNNNNNNNNNNNNNNNNNNNNNNNNNNNNNNNNNNNNNNNNNNNNNNNNNNNNNNNNNNNNNNNNNNNNNNNNNNNNNNNNNNNNNNNNNNNNNNNNNNNNNNNNNNNNNNNNNNNNNNNNNNNNNNNNNNNNNNNNNNNNNNNNNNNNNNNNNNACAUGUUAAAGAGUGAGAACAAGGUCAUAAGUCGUGUUGGAGCUGGUAGGCUUCCUCUAUGUGUUGAGGGCGAGUCUAGAUUUCAUGUCAAUUAGUAGGAAAUCGAAAAGCCUUACAUACCUUGUUGUACCACCUUGUAGUUACCUUGAAGUACCUUCCUUUCUUUUCAAAUACUUAUCUACAAUAGAGUAGGUGAUAAACUAGUAUUAGUAGUUACUAAACAUGCUUAGGCAGUUCAAUCUCACUCAACAAUAAUGCUCGGGCAGCAAACCCAUAAUUACUAAACUAAGGGUGUUCUUUCAAUCCCCGCCUUCGUUUAUUGCAUUUGUACACUACACAACUAUAUUUCAAUAUCGACAAUUUACACCCUUUCCAAACAUCAACCAAGCUGUCCCCAAUAUGUUUACAUAUCAACCUAUCCCAAAACAGUCUUAACAAUCCAACAUACAAUAGAGGACGUGAAACCAUAGUUUCCCAUCAUCAUCCCACGAGUUCUUAUCAACAGUAUACUUAAAAUAUCAUACUUAGACUCGUGUUUAAGGAAGACAAAGAUAGGGCAGUCACUUUACCUUAAUUCCUAUAACUCGUUUUCUUUUAUCUUUAACUCUUCAAUAACUUGAGUUUCCCUUGCAAGGGCUUGGCUUUAUCCAAGAACCCUAGGAAACUUGUGGCUGCUGCUAUGCUUUGAAAGAGAGAGGAAAAUCUUAGAGAGAAAUCUGAUUUUUUUUAUCUAUCUUUAAAAGUGAGGAAAAGGCCAGCAACUUGGGGAUUAUAAAGGUCUUAUUUUUCCCCACCUCUUAAGUUUUAAUAUCAGUCAUUAAUUUGUCAAAGUUGUCCAAGUAGGUGAUGCAUCUUCUUGGAAUUAUAUAUACACAAAAUGGGCCCUUUAUGUACUCAUCUUGGGCUGCAAUCUUUCCCCUUUCUAAUAUUAAGCCAUGGGCCAGAAUUAUACCCUUAAUUUGGGCCUUAAUCUUUAUUGGGGUCAAGUAGUUGGACUUGGACAGAUUGGUGCGAGGCCUCAUCUCCAUUCCCUUUUCCUUUUUAUUUAAUUUGGGCCUCAAGUGAGCCCACUAAUGCAUGAACUAAUCUUCCCCAUCAACCUAGCCCAUUUGAGCUAAGCAAGUAGUUGACACCUGCUAGCUUU